GACGAACGCUGGCGGCGUGCCUAAUACAUGCAAGUCGAACGGACAGACGAUGAGCUUGCUCCUCGGACGAUAGCGGCGCACGUGUGUGUAACACGUGUAUAACCUCCCUAUAAUAGGGGUAUAACUUCGGGACACGGGAGCUAAUCCGAGAUAAGAUAUUGAACCGCGGUGGGCGAUAGUGAAAGACGGUGUUGCUGGCACUAAUAGAGGGAUUCGCGCCUCUUUGGCUAGUUGGUAAGGUAACGGCUUACCAAGGGAAGAAGGCGUAGGCGAACUGACAGGGUGGUAGGCCACCUGGGAACUGGGCCAGGGUCAAGAGGACUACGGGAGGCAGCAGUAUGGAACGUUCGGCAGUGGGGGAAAGCUUGACGCAGCAACGCCGCGUGAGAGAUGAAGGUCUUCGGAUCGGAAAGCUCUCUUAUUGGGGAAGAACAAAUGUGUAAGUAAAUAUGCACGUCUUGACGGUACCUAAUCAGAAAGCCACGGCUAACUACGUG
rnacentral:rRNA from 1 species